UCCCUGGUGGUCCAGCGGCUAAGACUCUGCAUUGCCAAUGCAGGGGGCCCAGGUUCAAUCCCUGGUCGGGGAA